rnacentral:lncRNA from 1 species
CUCACAAUGUCGUGUGUGUGUGUAUAGUCGACAGGAACUUGCAAAGGAUGGUGGGCAUAAAAUGCGACUCCAUCUAAGGGGUAGGGCUAGGGUUUUGUAUUCAUUAAUCUGGACCACGGUAAUCUAGUUUUUAAUGUAAAAUGACUCAAAGCAAUAAAUGAAGACAUCAAUAUGAUUACUACUCCCUCCGUCACGGUUUAGAAGGCACAGUUAAACUUGCGUGCGUUUCCAAAAUAGACAAGAUUUAAGACGCGAUAGUAAUUACUCCUAUAUUUUGAGACGGAAGAGUAAUAUCUAAAAAGGUAAAUAAUUAGGAACGAAGGGAGCAGAAGCUGGCCAAAAACAGCUCCAACAACUUCAUAUACGCGAUUUUUUUACGGUUCCAGUAUAAUUUAUGCAAUAUUAAAAAUGUCGUAGCGAACCAUCUUGUGAUUGGAUGGUUAGAGGGACCGUGAUAUUUUCAGCCCAUCGGGGUUCAAAUAGUAGUGAUCGCAUUUAUUACUGGAUUUAUUUUAUGAAUUCCGGUGACGCGCAGUUAGUGGGAGAAGAAGUUUCCGUUAUCGACGAGAUACGUAUGAUAACUUCAUAAAUUUUAAAAUGAUAGGCCGGUUCAGUCUUUUAAAGUUGUUCAUAGGUAUAGAAUACUUACGUGUGUACUGUGUUAAAAAAUACCUAAAAAUGUGGCAUUGACGCGCAAGGUUGCACGCACUCUCCCUC